rnacentral:lncRNA from 1 species
GAGCUCUCAAAAAAUUAAACAUAAAAUAUGUUUAAAGAAAACAAUGCAUUAAGUCCAACACGUGGAGCAUGUGUGCGAAAUGAAAAACUCAAAGGAAGAUAAAAUGUAAAUAACAAAAUUUCGGCGUUAAAUCCUACUUUUAACUAUACUUUUCAUUUACAAAUUCCCUUUUCACGUUUAAUCGUCAGUGUGGCUGUGUUUUCCGGCACAUUCUCGUAUUUUAACUAUACUUUUCAUUUACAAAUUCCCUUUUCACGUUUAAUCGUCAGUGUGGCUGUGUUUUCCGGCACAUUCUCGUAUUUUAACUAUACUUUUCAUUUACAAAUUCCCUUUUCACGUUUAAUCGUCAGUGUGGCUGUGUUUUCCGGCACAUUCUCGUAAAAGUCAUGUUCUUGAGACUCAUGGCUCGUGACUAUUAACACGAUAGUGAAGUUCCAACAUUUUCUGAUGAUUUGGGUCAACAGAGAGUGCAGCACGACAAUCUCUCAAUGCACUUAAGACAUCUCCCUUGUGUU